rnacentral:lncRNA from 1 species
CAUGAGAAUUUAUUGAAGAAUGAGGUGGGAAAUGGAGGCAAAAAUUUCUAAGAGGGGUCCCAUUGCCAUCCCUUGUCUCCAUCUUGUAGGAAGCUCAAACGAAAUCCUGUCCGAGUUUCACAUUUUAUAUGCCUUGCCUUGGUUCGAACUACCAUCAGAUGUAUCUUAAACCGUCCGAUGCAAAUCAAAGGGAAAAAAAACAAGGGUUUGAUACCUUUUUUUUUCUCAUCAAAAUUCAAACUAAAUCUACAGAAUAUUAGAAUUUUAAAAUUUUUUAUUUGAAUUAAACAUAAUCUCUGCGGAUAAUUUGGGGUUUUAAGUUUGAGUUUAAUUAUGAUUGUCUCAAAAAUCAAUGCAAAGAAAUUAGAGUUCCGUUCUCCCACGUCAGUGCAUACGCACGAAACACCACACUCAAACUCAACGCAUGCCCAAAAUAUGGAAUUUAUUUAUU